GAUGAAGAACGUAGCGAAAUGCGAUAAGUAAUGUGAAUUGCAGAAUUCAGUGAAUCAUCGAAUCUUUGAACGCACCUUGCACUCCUUGGUAUUCCGAGGAGUACGCCUGUUCGAGUGUUAUGAAGCUCUCAAAACGCAAUUGGCUUAAAACCUGAUUGUUGUUUUGGAUUUGAACUUUGCCGUGUUAUAACGGCUGGUUUUAAAAGUAUUAGCUGGUACUAGAACGAAUUGGUUCUACUCAACGUGAUAAUUAUCUGAUCGUUGAGUACAUUCCUUUCACGAGUAAUGGCCAUAGUAAAUUCAAUAGACUGCUUCUAAUCUGGCUUUAAUUCUUUAUUGGAUUAACCACUUUUCAAAUCUGACCUCGAAUCAGGUGGGACUACCCGCUGAACUUAAGCAUAUCAAUAAGCGGAGGA
rnacentral:misc_RNA from 1 species